rnacentral:lncRNA from 1 species
CUGACAAAGGAAAUGAUUAUGAAGUCAAGUAAAUUUUGAGUAUGAUUUACAAGUUAAGUUCUGACAGAGAUUUCUCCAUUGUUGUUGAGCAGUUGUACAACACUGUAGAUGGAAGAAAACACCCAGAGGAAUACUGGAGAAAUCUGAGGAUGCGGGUGCCCAUGAGAAAGGCCACUGAGCAAAAGCCAGAAGUUAUUCUUUCCAUUGACGAAUUCAAGUAUCACAAUGCUGCUACAGACGCUGAGGAGAAACCUCUUGGCACCUCCUCUGAACCAGUUGGCAGUGGUGGCGAUGGCGGUGGCGAUCUUAAAGAAGAGGAGCCUCUUGGCACGUCCUCUGAACCAGUUGGCAGUGGUGGUGGUACCGGUGGUGGCGACCGUAAAGUACACAAACAUCUUUUUAAGCAAUAUGGACCAAAAGUUCCUGCGAAUUAAUUUAAAUACCGUGUGCAAGUGUACUGUCAUGGAUGAUAAUAUUUGAAUGGAAGAUAUGUGAAAUGAUCUCUAUCCUUUUAUGGUCAUUCAGGGUCCGGCAACACUACAAACAUGUAGUUUUUCAAUAAAGUGAUAUCACCUAUGUAUUUCACAACUUAAUCUCAUUUCUCUGUUUUCAUCUACCUUUAUGUCUUGUUUCUUGGUAUGACCUAUGUAUUUUGCAACUUAAUCUUAUUUGCCUGUACUCAUCUACCUUUGUGUCUAGUCACAUGGUAUGUAUCCUCGUUUGUACUCAUCUACCUUUAUGUCUGGUCACGUGGUAUGUAUCCUCGUCUGUUCUCAUCUACAUUUGUGUCUAGUGACGUGGUAUUUAUCCUCAUUUGAUGACUUAUCACCUCUGUAUUUUACAACUUCAUAUCAUUUGUCUAUACUCAUCUACCUUUGUGGAUAGUUACGUGGUAUGU